AUGAGGAUCAACUCAUUACGAUCAGUUUAACAGACUGACAUCAUGUGAGAAAAAGAGAUGGAGAAAAAAUGCCUAAAAAAUUAAACUGUGGAAUGGUGUGUCACAGGAGAAGGAAACAGAGAUAGUGUGUACCAUUGUCAGAAAAAAGGCAAGUACAGAAAUGAUCGUGGUAGAGGAGACUUCGCUGUCGAAACGACUUUUCCCUAAACCAGUACAAGCAGUAUUCUGUAACAGCAGUCGUUGAGAAGAGCAAGAAGAGAACCUGAUAGUGAGUAAAGACUUCUCAUCAGAUGGAAAUGGCUCGGAAUUGGUUUCUGCUGUGAGUCAGCAAAGGCAUUAUUCAAACAGCUCAUGGAGGUGGACUGCUCAAACGUGGAACUCCUGCACGAAUGAGAUCCUCCUUUGUCCUGCAGAAGCUUUCAUGAAGAUCAAGCUCUGAGGACCUUGCAAAGCACCAUGAUCAACUGAACUCGCAUGAUAAUCUCCCCAGAACUGCAAGAAAAAGAACUGGGAGUAGCUGCCAGCAAGAGCCGCUCACAGGGAAGGGCAGUGGCUGUUUACCUGCUUUGCUCAGACAGACCAGGCGAGGACAGGGAGAACAGUUAAAUGGUUUGCUUUCAUCAAAAUGGACCAUGUUUGUUCCUGUUAGACGGCUAGAGAGAGAGGAAGGAUUCCUGUUGGCAUUCCCAUUGGUGAAAGUUGGAUCUCACUCUGAACAUAAGGAUCUGGAUCACAUCCAUUAGCAGGACUAAAAGCAGUGCCAUGUCAAGAUAGUGUAACAACCAGGGAAUUGCAGAUGCCAAGCACAGACCCGCUUCUCCAGCAGAAGACAGUGACAUGACCCAAAUGGAAGCGCAAGGCUCAUAUGGUUACAUUCAAUGAUCAGUUCUCCUUGGAUGGAUUGUGACCCCCCCAGAAAUGUCGCAGAGGGAGAUUGAACUGAUGGACGUACAAAUCAGGCUAUUGCAGCACACACAUUUCAGAUGAGGGAGGCCUAUUCUGAUGGAAACAUCUGGUUUCAUUAUACCGGGAGCAUAAUCCAGAGACAGUUCAUAUGAAGGUCCGUGAGCAAGGCAAAUCGUCUCCCUCCUGUCCUGCGUGAGUGAAGACACUUAACCUGCUCUCUCUGCAAUGUCGUGUCUAUGCUGGUGGGCAUUGCCGUGAUCCAUGUGGUUUUCAUCACUGCCAGGAAGGGGAGCUCCUUGGUCUGAGAGAAGAGAUGCAUGUCUGGGACCGCAUCCCACCGUCGCAGGCAGUGACAGCCGGCGCUGCUGCUCUCUGCAGGCUAUUGCCCAGUUUCUUCUGGUGAGGUGCUCACUCACGGCAUGGCCCUUCCCACAGAGCUUUGCUGGUCUAAGAAGUCCUAUGCUGACGGUGCCAAAGCCCAGAUGUGGAAUAUGACGCUGGACAAAGACGCAUGAUGGGGGCACACAGGAUUGUUCACGCAGAAAACACAUAAUCCCUCUGGGAUCCCGUCCUCUAAAUCAGAUGGGAUUGCAUGUUCUGCUCUAAGAGCAGUACUUGGAACGAGAUCAUUGCAGCCUCACGUGGACCUAAACCUGAAACACCAAAACCUCCGGACAGAGAAGUGAUUGAGAAUGGCCUUUCCUGAGCUCUUUCAAUGGAAGAACCACCAACCUCUUUGAUUAACAAAAUAUUUCUGGCCCAGAGAUCUGCUGUUGUUUAGCAGCCUGGACUGAGAUAAAUAAUUGAUAAAUAAAUUGAUAAAUAUUGUAUUUAGAAAGUAGAUAAAUGAAAUGUUUCUAAAAUGAAAAUAUUAUUGUUCAGUUACCAACAUUGUAAGUGACAAGUACCAGCUAUGCUUGGUGGCAGCCACGGUCAGCAAUCAGAAAGCAGCUACUGAUAACAUUUGCCAUCUUUUACUAUUUUUGCCAUAAUUACACCACUGUGUAAGGUAAAUCUGAACUGCAAAACCUAGCUGAACUCAUCACAUACCUUACUCAGAUUUGGGACAAGUCAGUAGGGGUUUAUUUCUCUGUUACUUCUCCAGGUUAUUUUUCUGACAACUGCUUCAAAACUGAGCUAUUUUGAAGGGGACUCAAACUCAUCCUGUUUUUGACAGGGAACAAUAGAAAGAUUUAGAGCAUUGUUGGUGGACUGGACCAUAAAUGUCCCCUCACCCCCUCAGAUUUUGUCUCGUGGAGGCUAACAUACCAGGAAAAUACAGCUAUAUGGCACCCACGAGGAGUGACGAGGCCAAAAAGAAACGAAUGGCCACAAUGUUGUACGCCAAAUAUAAGCACAACCUUGACCUGAUGCAUCCUGCAGAAUAUGCUUAGCAUUUCAGGCAAGCGGAGGACAAGAGCAUUCGGAUAAUGGCAUGUGGGCCUUACAGACCCAGCAAUGGGCAAAAGGCAUCGCUCAUUAUUCCCUCAAGGACUCCACAUGCCAGUCUAUGCAAUCUGAUUUGCAAUCAAUUGCAAGUGAUUACACAUUGUUUAUCAUCGAUUGGCACAAGGAAUCCUUGAGAGAAUAAUGAGCUGCAGCUGAUGACAAUCAGAGACUACUGUCUCGUUGCAAGUUUGAUUGCACAUCCUUCCACUGGUGCAAUCGAGCACCCACCACCACCGCAAAGCACCACAAUAAAUAAAUAAGUGAAGCGUGGGAUCAGAAAGUGAAAUGUUAAAACCUCUUUUGAAAAAUAAAGCCCGAAUGAAAGUUCUUUGAUAUGAUAUAGCAAAGUUAAUGUCAUUGCUUUGGAUUAGAAAUAUGAGAAAAAGAUUCCAGUAUAUUGUCCAGCUUACUUUUUGGCAAAUAACAUCUGGACACCAAGCUAUCAUUCCUUUAAAUAAGUAGGAGGAAAAAAUUUGUACCGAGACAUCUGAAAGAAAUCUGUUAUUUUUAAGUAAAGCAUUUAGCCAAGCUAGAGGCCUCGAGAAGAGGCCAUUUUGAGAGCUAGUACCUCCUACUUAUCCCAAAUUCACCUGUUCUUCAUAACAUGCUCUGUUUCGCUGCCAACAAAUGCACAGGCAGGGAAAUAAGUCAUUAUAUCAUGCUGAAGCCGUGGACAUUAUCAAAUGAAUGUGCAGCUCUUUACAAUUGAGAUACCGAGGCCUAAACGUUGUACAAAACAGUAGUUAAAAUCGCAGUAAGCACACCUUGGCCAGGACCCUCAGAAAGGGGAGUCCAUCCCAGACUAUAGCCUGUGUUUGAAGGAUGGUGAGAUUAGGGAAAGUCUAUUCGCUGUGUGAUCUGAGUGGCUUAGACAAUGAUCGGUGCCUGGGACAAACUACUAGAGCUAUAAAUUUGCUUGAAAAGUAGCAGCAACUGUAGUCAUGUGUUUUACCUGGCUCAGUACCAGUGGAAAUGUGAUGAAAAAUACACAGAUUUCUUCAUUAGGGAUUUCAUUUUUGGAAGUUUACAUUCAUGUUAAGUCUUGAAAACUUUUCUGCGGGUCCCAGUGGUGUCAGCAGGAAUUUUGCCAUUGGCUUUGCUGGAACCGAGAUUUUGCCUUCUGAUCUGGAAAUCAGCUCCAUGCAAAUGAAGCAAAAUGCUUGUUUGAAGUCUUAUGCUUCGUAUAGCUGUCACAUUGUUCUCACUGCCUCCCUGGUGAUCAGCUCGCUGCCACUGACAUUUUGGGCUCAUUCCCUGCAUGCCAGUUUAUACGUUCUCCUGGGAUCUCAGAGUCCAAUAUUUAGCAUUUCAGACAACACAGAUUCCAGUUGGGUUAUCCCACUUUGGGUGAUUAUGUUGAAAAGGUCAGCAUACUAGAUGGUGCAGAAUGGUGCUAUAUUUGAGGAACUAUCAACCAGUGGCAGAACUGGGUGUCUUGAGACCUCAGUAAAGCUGUGGAGGGGCUUGAGAUUAAAAUGGUUUCUCAGUGGGCCAGAGAAACACCCAAGCCCUCUCCAAGGGACCAGGAUUCCCUUAGACCUCCUUGUUUGUGAGUCGCCCCACACCUGCCUUCUUCAGAAACCCUGGGCUCAAAAUACAAAUCUACCACUAUCUUUCCAUUUAACCUGGCUCUCUCCACUGUGACACUGGAGUCCAGUUGCCCGGGCAGAACAGGCUCAUGUCUGCAGGCUCCCCAACUGAAGCCUGAUGUUAAAAAAAAACACCCGCAAAAUGCAGUGCUGUCUGACAAAUGACACCAAACCUGACUUAGCCCUCUCCUUCACUGCAAAAUGUUGAGUAGAGCUGUACUGGCUUGUUAGUACAGAAUACAGUGUACUUGGUCUCGAACUGUAAAUCAAUAUCUGUAUCUGAAAGGUGACAUUUCAACAACUGUGGAAUGCUGGAGCCUGUUAGGAUCAUUUUUUUUUAAGUGUCAGAUUAUAAACUUCGUAAAUAAAUGAUGAGUGCACCUCUUACAA